rnacentral:rRNA from 1 species
GACGAACGCUGGCGGCGUGCUUAACACAUGCAAGUCGAACGGAAAGGCCCUGCUUGCAGGGUACUCGAGUGGCGAACGGGUGAGUAACACGUGGGUGAUCUGCCAUGCACUUCGGGAUAAGCUUGGGAAACUGGGUCUAAUACCGGAUAGGAGCCAUCUUUAGUGUGGUGGUUGGAAAGUUUUUUCGGUGUAGGAUGAGCUCGCGGCCUAUCAGCUUGUUGGUGGGGUAAUGGCCUACCAAGGCGGCGACGGGUAGCCGGCCUGAGAGGGUGUACGGCCACAUUGGGACUGAGAUACGGCCCAGACUCCUACGGGAGGCAGCAGUGGGGAAUAUUGCACAAUGGGCGCAAGCCUGAUGCAGCGACGCCGCGUGGGGGAUGAAGGCCUUCGGGUUGUAAACUCCUUUCGCUAGGGACGAAGCUUUGUUGUGACGGUACCUAGAUAAGAAGCACCGGCUAACUACGUG